GCCAGAAUAGCACAGCGGUAGUGCAACGGUUUUGUAAACCGUAGGUCAUCGGUUCGAAUCCGAUUUCUGGCU
rnacentral:tRNA from 1 species